GACGAACGCUGGCGGCGUGCUUAACACAUGCAAGUCGAACGGUGAAGCGCCUUCCUUUUUGGUGGGUGUGGAUGAGUGGCGAACGGGUGAGUAACACGUGAGUAACCUGCCCCCUUCUUCUGGAUAACCGCAUGAAAGUGUGGCUAAUACGGGAUAUUCUGGGUCUGUCGCAUGAUGGGUCUGGGAAAGAUAUUGUUUCGGUGGGGGAUGGGCUCGCGGCCUAUCAGCUUGUUGGUGGGGUGAUGGCCUACCAAGGCGGUGACGGGUAGCCGGCCUGAGAGGGUGGACUGUCACACUGGGACUGGGACCAAGCACACACUCAUACGGGAGGCAGCAGAAGGUAUAAUUGCACAAUGGGCGAAAGCCUGAUGCAGCGACGCCGCGUGGGGGAUGGAGGCCUUCGGGUUGUGAACCUCUUUCGCCAGUGAAGCAGGCCUGCCUCGUUUGUGGAUGGGUUGACGGUAGCUGGAUAAGAAGCGCCGGCUAACUACGUG
rnacentral:rRNA from 1 species